ensembl:lncRNA
CCCCAGCUCUGCCGCCCGUGAAGUUGCUGACCUGGGCCAGGCCCGCCUGUGGGGCCCAGAGCUAUUUUUAAGGCCCACCGGAUGGGCCUUCCAGGAACCAGGAAAAAACAGGCAGGGCUUGACAUCCUGCCCUGUGGGGAUGUGGCUGGAAGAGGGCUAUGGAUCAGACCCACAGUGAAGAGGUGGCCUGGGGUAACUGACCAAGGGUGGUGCCUGGGGCAGAAGGGUGAGGGGCCCUUGGGGCUCAGACCUGGCUUUACCUUCCUGUGUAAGGAGGGCAGGGGCCCCACCUCUGGGAAAAUCCCUCAGAGCCUCCAUGUGCCAAGCUGACAAAUGGGGUGGGCCAUGCCUGCUGGUAGGGUAGAGACACGGGAGGUGGGCAGCACCUUGCCUGAGUCCUGCCCACUGGGCGGGGUCAUCUCAGGCCUAUUCCUGGGGACAGACAGGACCUGAAAGAGGGCCCCUGCAGGACAGCCGCUGGAGGGAGCGGGGUCUGGGUCCGUUCUGACCCUCAGGGACUCACAGUACACGCAGGACACACACACCACAGCACGUCUACAACACACACGAGUCUGGAAGAGACGAAGGCUCUGAGUAAACCUCCAUCUCAGGAAACAGGCUGCCUCCUGCUCUCUCCUCCACUCCCAGACCAGGUGGGGGACCCCUCCUCACUCUAGAGACCCCAGGGGCUUCCAGAGGUGGCUCAGCCCACCUUAGGGCCGGGGGAAGAGAGACAUACAUCGCCCCUUUCUGAAGGAGAGUGAACCCUGCUCUGAGUUUGAGGAGACUCAGGGUCUUCAGAUCAAGACUCUGGAGCUUCUGGGGGCAGGGGUGGCCCUCAUCCCAGGUUGCCGACCUCCCAAGCCUGACUGCCAAGAGUCACAUCUUGAUACCGAGACCCAGGACACUCUACAGUACCCCUGCCCUCCCCAGCCCAGGACAAGCUACGGGUCCAGGAACCUGCAGCAGCCUGACCCCAGAAGGAAGACCCUGUGGACUACCCACUGGUCCCCAAGAAAAACCCACAAGAUGGGAGUCUCUGGACUCCACUGCAGAGGUGGGCACCCUGCCUUGGAUUUGACCCUGUGAGUAGCUCUUACCGGCCUGAGGUCUGUGGUGCACUGGCCAGCCCUGGCCCUGGCCUCAUGUCCACACAGCAGGAGGGCGGUGGACAGGGCUCCAGGAAGGUAAAAACCCAUGAGCUGCACCAGCGCAAGUUCUACUCUCUGCCCUGGGGCAGUGACGGUGGCAAUGAAGUGGUGUGACUUGGGGCUGGCUGGGCAAGCUGAGGGAGCCAGCAGGCUGGCAAGGGCCUCUGAAGCACAUGCUUGGAGGGCACGCCUGAAGGCAACCUCUGGGGGGCCCAGGGAUGGGGCUGCAAUGAUGUGACCCCAGCCUGGCCCCCAGGGGCCACACCAAGUACCUGCAAUGCCAGAAGGACCAGCACCUUGACCUCUUGGCUCCCCCAAUCCUCAAUCCUCUCUGGAUGGCUGUGGGAAGCAGUGGGCGUCCUGGGCUCAGCCAGGGGGCUGGCAGACGGCUGCUCACGCCAGAGCUGCUCAGGCCGGUGGUGACCUUGGGCUGAGGUCGGCAACCCGUGGGGCCGGAUGGGUCUGUGCUGUACAGAAGGCGGAGAACGGGCUCAGGUCCAGACCACGGCCGUGAAGACCUGGGCUAAUGCCAGCCCUGACACAGGCGGUCAAGGUGGCCUCCCUGGUAAGGUGGACAGCAGCUGGGUCUGGUGGGUAGCCAGGUGGGUGGAGCGCAGGGGAGGGCCCUACAGGCACGGGGACAGCAGGGCAAAGGUCCCCGGGGGCAGGCACGGUCAGGAAGGCCCUUGGGCUGCAGGUGUGCGGUCAGGCCGAGUGGGGACUGUGGCCCGGGGUGGGCAGGACAGUGCCUCACCCCAGGCGGGGGUUUCGAGUCCGGGGGCGCUGCCUGCCCAGGGGGCACGAGCACAGCCCGGGGUACCGGAAGCUGACUCCCGACUCCCGCGGCUCCUCGCAGCCCAGCCGCUACAUUCCCCGCGAGGCCACCGGCGCCUGGCCGGCCUCGCGGGUGACCUUCCCAGCGCGGCCUGGGG